GAUGGGCUCGCGUCCGAUUAGAUAGUUGGUGGGGUAACGGCCCACCAAGUCAACGAUCGGUAGCCGGACUGAGAGGUUGAACGGCCACAUUGGGACUGAGACACGGCCCAGACUCCUACGGGAGGCAGCAGUGAGGGAUAUUGCACAAUGGGGGGAACCCUGAUGCAGCAACGCCGCGUGAGGGAAGAAGGUUUUCGGAUUGUAAACCUCUGUCCUUGGUGAAGAAGCAAGUGACGGUAGCCGAGGAGGAAGCCACGGCUAACUACGUGCCAGCAGCCGCGGUAAUACGUAGGUGGCGAGCGUUGUCCGGAAUUACUGGGUGUAAAGGGAGCGCAGGCGGAAUAGCAAGUCAGUGGUGAAAUGUAUGGGCUUAACCCAUAAAUUGCCGUUGAAACUGUUAUUCUUGAGUGGAGUAGAGGCAAGUGGAAUUCCGAGUGUAGCGGUGAAAUGCGUAGAUAUUCGGAGGAACACCGGUGGCGAAGGCGACUUGCUGGGCUCUAACUGACGCUGAGGCUCGAAAGUGUGGGGAGCAAACAGGAUUAGAUACCCUGGUAGUCCACACCGUAAACGAUGAUAGCUAGGUGUGGGGGGAGCUAUCCCCUCCGUGCCGGAGUUAACGCAUUAAGCUAUCCACCUGGGGAGUACGAUCGCAAGAUUAAAACUCAAAUGAAUUGACGG
rnacentral:rRNA from 1 species